GAGAGAUAGAGAGAGAGAGAGGGAUAGAGAAAGAGAGAUGGGAAUUGGGAAUCAGCUAACCAUUGUUUUCCUUGACUGAGAUCUCUGGGUCAGGAGGUGAAGUACAAGAUGGGGCGAGGAGGAGGUGGAGGAGCUUGAUGCAGGCGCAGGAGAACAAUAGGAACAUGACCAUAUACACGAUCCAAGCACCCAUUCUCCAAGCUGAAGCUUGAAACUCCCCAUCCCCGAUCUGGCCUUGAGAGAUGCAGAG